rnacentral:rRNA from 1 species
UACGUAGGGUGCAAGCGUUAAUCGGAAUUACUGGGCGUAAAGCGCGCGCAGGCGGUUUGUUAAGCCAGAUGUGAAAUCCCCGGGCUCAACCUGGGAACUGCGUUUGGAACUGGCAAGCUAGAGUGUGUUAGAGGGGGGUAGAAUUCCACGUGUAGCAGUGAAAUGCGUAGAGAUGUGGAGGAAUACCGAUGGCGAAGGCAGCCCCCUGGGAUAACACUGACGCUCAUGCUCGAAAGCGUGGGUAGCAAACAGG